UACGGAGGGAGCUAGCGUUGUUCGGAUAUACUGGGCGUAAAGCGCACGUAGGCGGCGCAGCAAGUCAGGGGUGAAAUCCCGGAGCUCAACUCCGGAACUGCCCUUGAAACUGCAGUGCUAGAAUUUGGAGAGGCGAGUGGAAUUCCUGGUGUAGCGGUGAAAUGCGUAGAUAUCAGGAGGAACACCUGUGGCGAAAGCGGCUCACUGGACCAUAACUGACGCUGAUGCACGAAAGCUAGGGGGAGCAAACGGG
rnacentral:rRNA from 1 species